GGGGGGCGGCUUACCAUGCAAGUCGAACGAUGAAGCCCAGCUUGCUGGGUGGAUUAGUGGCGAACGGGUGAGUAACACGUGAGUAACCUGCCCUUAACUCUGGGAUAAGCCUGGGAAACUGGGUCUAAUACCGGAUAGGAGCGUCCACCGCAUGGUGGGUGUUGGAAAGAUUUAUCGGUUUUGGAUGGACUCGCGGCCUAUCAGCUUGUUGGUGAGGUAAUGGCUCACCAAGGCGACGACGGGUAGCCGGCCUGAGAGGGUGACCGGCCACACUGGGACUGAGACACGGCCCAGACUCCUACGGGAGGCAGCAGUGGGGAAUAUUGCACAAUGGGCGCAAGCCUGAUGCAGCGAACGCCGCGUGAGGGAUGACGGCCUUCGGGUUGUAAACCUCUUUCAGUAGGGAAGAAGCGAAAGUGACGGUACCUGCAGAAGAAGCACCGGCUAACUACGUGCCAGCAGCCGCGGUAAUACGUAGGGUGCGAGCGUUAUCCGGAAUUAUUGGGCGUAAAGAGCUCGUAGGCGGUUUGUCGCGUCUGUCGUGAAAGUCCGGGGCUUAACCCCGGAUCUGCGGUGGGUACGGGCAGACUAGAGUGCAGUAGGGGAGACUGGAAUUCCUGGUGUAGCGGUGGAAUGCGCAGAUAUCAGGAGGAACACCGAUGGCGAAGGCAGGUCUCUGGGCUGUAACUGACGCUGAGGAGCGAAAGCAUGGGGAGCGAACAGGAUUAGAUACCCUGGUAGUCCAUGCCGUAAACGUUGGGCACUAGGUGUGGGGACCAUUCCACGGUUUCCGCGCCGCAGCUAACGCAUUAAGUGCCCCGCCUGGGGAGUACGGCCGCAAGGCUAAAACUCAAAGGAAUUGACGGGGGCCCCGCACAAGCGGCGGAGCAUGCGGAUUAAUUCGAUGCAACGCGAAGAACCUUACCAAGGCUUGACAUGUUCUCGAUCGCCGUAGAGAUACGGUUUCCCCUUUGGGGCGGGUUCACAGGUGGUGCAUGGUUGUCGUCAGCUCGUGUCGUGAGAUGUUGGGUUAAGUCCCGCAACGAGCGCAACCCUCGUUCCAUGUUGCCAGCACGUAAUGGUGGGGACUCAUGGGAGACUGCCGGGGUCAACUCGGAGGAAGGUGAGGACGACGUCAAAUCAUCAUGCCCCUUAUGUCUUGGGCUUCACGCAUGCUACAAUGGCCGGUACAAUGGGUUGCGAUACUGUGAGGUGGAGCUAAUCCCAAAAAGCCGGUCUCAGUUCGGAUUGGGGUCUGCAACUCGACCCCAUGAAGUCGGAGUCGCUAGUAAUCG
rnacentral:rRNA from 1 species